GACGAACGCUGGCGGCGUGCUUAGCACAUGCAAGUCGAACGGAAAGGCCUGUCCUUCCUUGUGUUGGACGGGUGCUCGAGUGGCGAACGGGUGAGUAACACGUGAGUGAUCUGCCCCCAACUUGGGUAUAAGCCUGGGAAACUGGGUCUAAUUCCCGAUAGGACUGCAGGGUGGUGCCUGUGGUGGAAAACGAUUUUCUAGUGGUUGGGGAUGAGCUCGCGGCCUAUCAGCUUGUUGGUGGGGUAAUGGCCUACCAAGGCGGCGACGGGUAGCCGGCCUGGGAGGGUGGACGGCCACAGUGGGACUGAGAUACGGCCCAGACUCCUACGGGAGGCAGCAGUGGGGAAGAGUGCACAAUGGGCGGAAGCCUGAUGCAGCGACGCCGCGUGGGGGAUGACGGCCUUCGGGUGGUAAACUCCUGUCGACAGCGAGGAAGCCGCCUGGUUGGAAGGGUGGUGACGGUAGUGGUAGAAGAAGCACCGGCUAACUACGUG
rnacentral:rRNA from 1 species